UGUGCGCCGAAGUCGGGUAUUCCUUGCGCGAUACUCCGCAGUGCUUCGAAGCUAAGUCGGCUAGCGCUUACAAAUGUUCGAAUAGCUCUAUCGCUGCUUCAGUCGUGGCAGUAUAAAGAUGGUGUGUGGGUGGACGCACUAGUGCACUUUAGUCCGGAUUGACCUUCGGGUCACGUUUGUGUAAAUGAGUAUCUGUGGACACCCUGCAAGCACUCGCCCAUCUGCGUGUCUGAUCGACAAAAACAAGCAGGAACACGACAUGCGAUCAUAUCCAGCAGCGAGUCUUGUUUCCGAGGCCUUUUCGUCCCACUUGACGUUUCCUAUGGAGUCCGUUUUCAGGACAUCAUGCUAGUGCGAUACCGAGAUGAAUGUGAUUGAAGACAGUGAUGAGAUACGGUAAAACGAAGUGAGUACUGUAAAACGAAACAUUUCGAAUCAGUGGCUUCCAUGUAGAGCAGAAAAAAAAAAAGAAGAAGAAGAAGAAAAAGAAGGAAGCGGUAGCGACGGAUUGUGACGGCACAACUGGAAAGCCUCUGGCUAUCAAAUUGAUUCAUGGAUUAUUGGCUGCGAACUUAAUUGAACUAUUUUGCGCGACGACUCGGAACAGCAUAAGAAAGCGUGUGACAGUG